CGGCUUCCCUUUCUCAAUGGCCACCCUGCUUAUUUCUCUCUGCUGGGAAAAUGAUAUGCCAGAAAGGGGAGGUAGCUAGGCUAGCUACCGUACAGCGAGAACGGGAAUGUGCGACAAAGCUUGUUGGCGUCGUCAAGCUAUGUUUCCCUUGUAAACGCCAGUCUGCAUCACCUUGGAGAUGGUCGCAUUGUUGCACCAGGAGGCCCCCACUAACAGGCGAAUAGUGGUGCGGGGAUACAACAGUAAGAUCUGGGGAUGCGAUGAAGGAUCAGCUAAUAUAACAGUUGAUGUCAUUUCUGCCCAGUCACCAUGACACCCAGAGAAGGUUUGUUUGAGGAUCUCAGAACUAGAGUCACUGGGCACAUUGUGCUAACCCAGGAGUCUCCUCUCUCUCUCGGUCUCUGUCUCUCUGUCUCUGUCUCUAUCUCUGUCUUUUGUAUCUGUAAGUGUCUCAUUGUUGUCUCUUUCUCUCCCUAUCCCUUCUCUUCUCUAGAGUGCCAAUGCUUAACAAUUCUGUAUAGUGGGGGGGAGUCCCCGCUCCAUUCCUCCUUUUUCCAUCCUCUCUUCUCCUGGUUUGUUUGACACUUGUCUUGGUCUCGUGCAAAGAAAUAAUUGAAACUAGUACACGCCACACAUCUUUUGGAGUGUUUCUCCUCUUGUUCUUGGGUGUGUGUUGAUGAUUCCUGAGCCUGGGCUUUAUUUGUUUUUGGAACCCAGCUCGUCCAAAGCCCAGGCUUGAGUGUUAUGUCUUCCUUCAGUUCUCCUAUGGGUGGGAAAGACUGGCUUUGACAAGGAGACGUGCAUACUUGACAUACUUUCUCUCAUAAGAGAAGAAACAUCCCAGAUUAUGUACACUGGGGGGCAGAAUCCUGAUUUAAGAUGUGCGUUUAACUUGAGGAUUUAACAUAAGAUGCUGCUGUUAGGAUUUGAGCUGUUAGGAGUUGCAGCCUUUAGAUGCGUUACCUGCAGCAAAUUCACAUCUUCUUAUAUGUGUACUGAUGGAACCAGGGGGUUUUGUUUGCAGUUGUGUCAAUCUUUAAUCAACCUCUUAGACCUUCUGCCAGAGAUUUUUUUUUUUUUUAAAACAAGGAGAGAGAGAUGAGUGACUGAGGACGCUGUGGAAAAUCCAUCCUACCUUUGUGUUUAGUUGGCAAGCUGAAGGCUGGACGAGCACGGGCUGAACAUGGUUAGGGGUCAUCUCUCCGCUGAAGGUUGGAAGGACCCACAUAGCAUAACAUACCGCCAUGGAUCCGUCCUGCAGCAACGGGUGCAUGACUGGAUCUCAGGGCAGGCUUGUGAAACAUCCUGGGUCUUGUUGAGACAAAAUAGAGAGUCGAGACACGAGCACAUUACAAGUCCUCCAGCUAUCAGUCUCACGGUGCUGAGGUUUACUGGGGAAGAGCCACAAUCAGACCACAACACGGUCGUGGAUUUCACCAGGAUAUAUUAUGGGUGACAAGAAAAAAACGUUCCAAGCUUUUAAAGCUAACUUGGGGUUAGCCUUUUUAAACAGUGUUUUAAGCUUUGAGCGAAAUGAGAAAGUUGAGGCUGCCCAGUAAAACGAUGCAAUAAAGUAAAGCCUACUUUUCAAUGUCACUUCCCUAUGGGAAAUGGGUAGUGAACAGGUUUUGAGGGGGGUAGGUGGCAUUAGAAAGGCAGAUUACUACUUAGCGCCAAAGGGCCCUAGGAGGGUGGUGUGAGUUUCCCAGGGCUUAAGUGACUCAUCAGGCAAUGUGGGGGCAGACCUCUCUCCAAAGGACUAAUCCCAUGGGCCUGCGGAGGCUGGAGGGAAACCCCACACCCACAUACAGACUCACAGACUCGAAUCCCGCAGGUGGCUUACAUCUCAAAUAGGCCUGAAAUGUUAGGGCUUUCGAGGGUUGUCUUUGAGGGUAGGUAAAGGGUGCAUGUAACUUCAUUUCACUGAAUCCCAUCAAGCCUGUUAAAGUAAACCUUGAAUACUUUUGAGGGCCAAUUUUGAUGACAAUGCCGAUAUGAUGAUGUUUACCAGUCUCCCAUGUGCCCUAGCAUUCAUUUCCCCCCCCAAAUACUGAAACAAACCGUUCAAAUCGAAUCCAAGGUUGUUGCACGUGUGGCGGUGUUGAACCCGUGACCUAGAGGAGUAACAGGUCCCGACGUGUCAUGGUUUGUCACGUUUACAAAUGCUUACCUCACCUUUACCACUUGUUUUUGGCUGGCAAGAGUGGAACAUUGGAUGGCUGUAAAACAAAAGAUCUGAAACCGCAGUCGCUUUACUGCUUCUUUUUCCAACUUCAUAAACAUCCGACAGAUUUGAUCAGCCCCAAUGAAAUGUGUUAUUCCUCUGCGAACGCUUUUCACUUGACUGUAUAUUACUUCAAUAUGAUGUCUAUCAAUGUGUUCUGAAGCGAUAUAUUCAUAUUGCAAUGGAGUUGCUGGAAGACAGGCAAAGGGCAAGAGCGGGGGAGGUGUGUGUAUGUGUGUGUGUGUGUGUGUGUGUGUGUGUGUGUGUGUGUGUGCGCACAGAGACAGAAGUACAACCUCCACCCGCCUCCCUUUUCUCCACCAAUUAAGAUUUGUCUCACUGAUAUGUCAGAAAUGCUUAAAAAAAAGGGUGUUCCCCAAUCCUUCUUACUCUGCUCGUCUCUAAAAAUCUUGGGGCGUCAGUUCGACUGCACUGCAGACCUCCUGGCUUCAAUGACAAAGCGUCGUCUCAUCUAUUUGGCCUGCAAAUGUGAUUGUUGUCAUUACUUUCGUCGAGACUGGGUCAGGAGUAACUUUAUUUGGUUACUUAGCGAGACGGGGACAGUCCCAAAGAGAAGGGGAGGGAGUGUUGGUAGGGUGUCUGGGGCCUGAGGUGACUGGGUGGUAGGGAACAUAUCGAAGAAGAUGAUGACUUUAUUAUCCAACGAUGUACAUGAACGUCUAACGUAAUUUGACUUCAGAAAGUUUAUCUGCCCUCCGUCAAGUCGAGCUGAAUGUAAAGAUGACAGUCUACUAUCCUGGUUUAAUAUCCUUCACACUGAAGCGUAGCUAAGUGUGUGUGUGUGUGUGUGUGUGUGUGUGUGUGUAUAUAUAUUUCUCUAAGUGUGAGGUGUUUAAAAGGCCAUCAUGAGGGCUGUUGGGAGGAAUGUUCCCACUUGACAUUUACGUUGUUGCGGCUCUGCUCACAUGUGUAAGUUAUCAAGUGGGGAGGUCCUGUCUCGACCAAUGAUCAUUCUGAGAGGUCGGCAACUAGCGUGCUAGGCUUCAGACAGAGCGGUUUGAUUGAAAGUUUGAAAUCAAAAUCAUACACAGGGGGAAAUAGGACUAAUUGGUUGCAUGUAGAGUAUGGUGCCACUAAGUUGUGCCAGCAUCUCCUUCACUCAACUCAGAGAGAUUUCCCUCAGAGGGAUCUUUCCCUCAGUUUACUGUAAUCAAUGAAGAAAUCCUAAAAGUAGGAGAAAGUGUCGCAACCAACCAAGCUAACGAGGCAUCCAGACCUUUGGACUUGCUGCUGCCACAUCCAAGCUUCCUAGCCAAGUCCUAUGUCUCAUAAGAACACCUGAUCUAGGAUCAGGUUUGCCUUUUAGAACAAAAUGAACCAGAUUCCACGGGGGGAUGGGGGACGGGCGGGGGCUGAUCCUAGAUUAGGAGUUCUACUCUGACUACGACCCAAGCAAUUAGUUCAGCUUGGGUUCAUCUUCCCCCUAUCUCUCCCUGUGGACCAGACUGCAAUUACGCUGCAGAGUAGAAUGCACGACGAGAAAGCCAAAGUAUGAAAGAAAUGUAAACCAAAAGUGAAAAGUCCGGGAGGGGGAAAUACCACCUCGCAUGCGAAACGACCACGGACAACUUGAGUCAGCCAGAGACUGUCGACAGCCAUCAAGCCAUCAGAUUCUCCAGGAUGCAGUUGUUUGAAAUCUUCACCCCCGAUGGUGAUGCCGUUCAAGGAGAAACACCAGAGAGCGAGCGAGAGGAAAAUGUGGCUUAAAUGUGUCCUUGGAGCUAGUUUUCCAUAUCAACUGUAAUGUGUGGCAUGGAGUUGGGAGAGAAAUCCCCCUAGCUGAAAGCUGACCCCGGUUGAGAGGUAUGACACUUGACACCAGCCGUCCACCAGUCCUUUUAUUCCUACCAACACCUUAGAAAGCUGACCCCGGUUGAGAGGUAUGACACUUGACACCAGCCGUCCACCAGUCCUUUUAUUCCUACCAACACCUUAGAAAGCUGACCCCGGUUGAGAGGCAUGACACUUGACACCAGCCGUCCACCAGUCCUUUUAUUCCUACCAACACCUUAGAAAGCUGACCCCGGUUGAGAGGUAUGACACUUGACACCAGCCGUCCACCAGUCCUUUUAUUCCUACCAACACCUUAGAAAGCUGACCCCGGUUGAGAGGCAUGACACUUGACACCAGCCGUCCACCAGUCCUUUUAUUCCUACCAACACCUUAGAAAGCUGACCCCGGUUGAGAGGUAUGACACUUGACACCAGCCGUCCACCAGUCCUUUUAUUCCUACCAACACCUUAGAAAGCUGACC